rnacentral:rRNA from 1 species
UGCAGUCGACGGAACGAUGGGAGCUUGCUCCCAGGCGUCGAGUGGCGGACGGGUGAGUAAUACUUAGGAAUCUGCCCAUUAGUGGGGGACAACUAGAAGAAAUUCUAGCUAAUACCGCAUACGCCCUAAGGGGGAAAGCGGGGGAUCUUCGGACCUCGCGCUAAUGGAUGAGCCUAAGUCGGAUUAGCUUGUUGGUGAGGUAAUGGCUCACCAAGGCGACGAUCCGUAGCUGGUCUGAGAGGACGAUCAGCCACACUGGGACUGAGACACGGCCCAGACUCCUACGGGAGGCAGCAGUGGGGAAUAUUGGACAAUGGGCGCAAGCCUGAUCCAGCAAUGCCGCGUGUGUGAAGAAGGCCUGCGGGUUGUAAAGCACUUUCAGUAGAGAAGAAAAGCUUACGGUUAAUAACCGUGAGUCUUGACGUAACCUACAGAAGAAGCACCGGCUAACUCCGUGCCAGCAGCCGCGGUAAUACG